rnacentral:rRNA from 1 species
ACGAAGGAUGCAAGCGUUAUCCGGAUUCAUUGGGUUUAAAGGGAGCGUAGGUGGCCUUAUAAGUCAGUGGUGAAAUCUCGCAGCUUAACUGCGAAAUUGCCAUUGAUACUGUAGGGCUUGAGUAUAGUUGCCGUUGGCGGAAUAUGACAUGUAGUGGUGAAAUACAUAGAGAUGUCAUAGAACACCGAUUGCGAAGGCAGCUGACGAAACUAUAACUGACACUGAGGCUCGAAAGUGCGGGGAUCAAACAGGAUUAGAAACCCCCGUAGUCC